rnacentral:rRNA from 1 species
AGAGUUUGAUCCUGGCUCAGGAUGAACGCCGGCGGUGUGCCUAAUACAUGCAAGUCGAACGCGUUGGCCCAACUGAUUGAACGUGCUUGCACGGACUUGACGUUGGUUUACCAGCGAGUGGCGGACGGGUGAGUAACACGUAGGUAACCUGCCCCAAAGCGGGGGAUAACAUUUGGAAACAGAUGCUAAUACCGCAUAACAAUUUGAAUCGCAUGAUUCAAAUUUGAAAGAUGGCUUCGGCUAUCACUUUGGGAUGGACCUGCGGCGCAUUAGCUUGUUGGUAGGGUAACGGCCUACCAAGGCUGUGAUGCGUAGCCGAGUUGAGAGACUGAUCGGCCACAAUGGAACUGAGACACGGUCCGUACUCCUACGGGAGGCAGCAGUAGGGAAUCUUCCACAAUGGGCGCAAGCCUGAUGGAGCAACACCGCGUGAGUGAAGAAGGGUUUCGGCUCGUAAAGCUCUGUUGUUAGAGAAGAACGUGCGUGAGAGCAACUGUUCACGCAGUGACGGUAUCUAACCAGAAAGUCACGGCUAACUACGUGCCAGCAGCCGCGGUAAUACGUAGGUGGCAAGCGUUAUCCGGAUUUAUUGGGCGUAAAGCGAGCGCAGGCGGUUUGAUAAGUCUGAUGUGAAAGCCUUUGGCUUAACCAAAGAAGUGCAUCGGAAACUGUCAGACUUGAGUGCAGAAGAGGACAGUGGAACUCCAUGUGUAGCGGUGGAAUGCGUAGAUAUAUGGAAGAACACCAGUGGCGAAGGCGGCUGCCUGGUCUGCAACUGACGCUGAGGCUCGAAAGCAUGGGUAGCGAACAGGAUUAGAUACCCUGGUAGUCCAUGCCGUAAACGAUGAGUGCUAGGUGUUGGAGGGUUCCGCCCUUCAGUGCCGCAGCU